rnacentral:lncRNA from 1 species
UCCUUUCUCUUUGCGACCAGUCCUGUCCAAGGAAUGGUAGUCGUCGAGACAGAUCACAGUGGUCGUGUCACUGAUGAGUGUGUUGGAAUCGGGGUUCCCGCCUUUCGGUGGCUCGGCGGCGCCGCCGAAGACGCUUGUGAGCCUCCGCAUGAAGGUGCUUUUGCCGCAUCCGGAGUCGGCGGCGAGUCCGAUCACGAUGGUUUGUUGUGCGGCGCAAGUGAUGAUUGUGUUGAAUCUACGGUUGGUUUGGGAUUGACGACGGUAGAAGAAGACUUGUUUCGAGGAGGAAGAAGAUGGAGAAGAGGUUAAGAAAUGAGUUGAGUUGAGAGCUUGUGUUGAGUAGAUUGUUGAGACAGCCAUUGUUGUUGUUUGGUUCCUGCUUCCUCUUCUUCUCCGCCUAAGCUCUCUGUUUUUUUCUUUUUUGGUUUUGUGAGCUAAGGUUGAGUGAUGAAUAUUAGGAUAGAAUGAAAGAAAUGUGGGUAACGAUUUUUGAUUUAUGGGUUUUUGUGUGGUGAUGUAAAGAUGUGGUUUUUCUUCAAAUAAAAAAAUAAAUGGGGUUUUUUUUUUAUGGGGGAAAGAGAGAAAUGAGAGGAUGAAAAUGGGUUUGUAGGAAAACAAAUGGCAAUUUGCAAAGAAGAAAAAAAGAGUUUUGUUUUGUUUUGAUUUUGAUAUGAUUUAGUGUGGUUUUUUAAUGAGUGGUUCAUGUUUUGGUUUCUUGAAGUAAAUUCAUCUGGUAAUGUUGUUAAAGAUAAGUUUUAGUCUCUUUGUUAAAGAUAAUUGUUGAUAAGUAAAAGAUUUCUAGCCCCAAAAAACCCAAGAAACAUGUAGAUUUACUUCCUUUUAGAUUUGCGUAAUCCCUAUUGUUUAAUAAUGAUUGGAUAUUGAAGUUUCGGAGAGAGUGAAGUUGCCGAUGAUGAAGUGAUAAAACUAAAACAGGGCAUGGACAGACACUUGGUGGUUAUUUGCUUAUUUCUUUGGGUUUCGGAUAUUUGAAUUGACACGUGGUAGAGUUUGAUUGGAUACAUGGGGAUUAUGUGCUUAAGGUCGGAAGUUGAAGGAGAGUGUAUUAUAUGGGCCCCAUUGACACGUCUCGUAUAUCCCCUUUAGCUUCGUAUCUUUAUGGUCUUUGAACAACUUACCUUUUCUUCAUUUAUGUCUCUUCCGGGACACAAAAUCAUUAGACUAAAAAAACUUUUUUUUCUGAAUAUUGACCGUGUUGUUUUAACAGAGAACCUCACCAAUUUUGACAACGAGAACACAUCUUAAUACACAUGAGUUUUAGCCAGAUCGAAAUUUUAUGGCUAUGGUUGUCUUAAUAGUCAACUUCGUCGUAAGGAAAAAAAAAACCCAGAUUUUAAGAGACGAUAUUGGGUACUAAGUGUUAUUACAAACGGAAGAAGAGCAGAAGAGAAAAAACCUACAGAAAUGGCCGAACAACCACUGUAUCUCUCUCUUGCAACUAUAGUAACUAAAAGAAAUUUACCUCGACACAACACAUUUAAUGGUAAAAUGGUAAUUACAUUCUGACGAGAUACACAUAUUUCAAACCUUUUUAUCAAAGGGAAAAUUACCAUCAUCCUCUCUCCCUUCUUUUUUUACUUGUUCCCCCUAAAGUAGAGGUAGAUUUUCUGCAAACACCACAACAAGAAACACGAUCAAUUCAUCUGUUCAUUUUACCAAAUCCCCUUUGCGGUUAACAUUUUUUUUGCAGAUGCUUACCUGAAGAACCCAUAGACUCAAAAGUGACUCCAAGCAGAAGAGACCAAAGCCGAUAAAGUAAAAGAUCUGCAUUCAUUCAUUAGUAUCAUAUUUAGCUUUAGCUAUCCCAAGAUUUUAAAAUUUUAUGAGUGUGACGAAUAUAAAAUGGAUGUAUGGCUCGUACCCCGGCUAAUACACUGUCUGAGAUGACAUCAAUUGCUGCAAGCACACCCCUGUUGAUUACAAAGAGAACGGGAACAAAGUUAAUCUCAAGGUAACAGAACACAUAGAAACACAAACUUCUAAAGCAUUACAAAAUAAGGCAUUAAUUUGACAGUUUCUAGUUUCCUAUGUCAGCAAAAGUUUUACAAAGUUGAAACUCAGCUAGAGCAACCAAGGGUCGAAAUGAAAAUUAUAAUUCUCAUUCUUAAGUUACAACUCAAUAUUUUUAAGCCUACCAGAAAAAUUUAGAACUCUCCAAAUGAAACCCUCACCAGACUAACCAACUACACGUGAAGAAACAGAGAGCUCGAGCGCAAGAAGAAUAGUAGGCUAUGACUGGAAAACUUACGUCAAUGAUUUUCCAUGGAAGAAAAUCGGAGGGGCAAUGGCGGCAACAAUGCAGAAGCCAAUGUGAAUCUGUGGAGAGCUCAGGUCAAUCAUAUAGAAAAUGGAAAAGUAUACCUACGUAUAGGUAACAUAUAAACAAUACGAAAAGUCUUUAUGAACUCACCAAGUAGGAGAAGAAAAACCAACCAAACUUCAAAGCGCUGUCAGUCCUACAAGGUGGUACAAUGUAUUUCAAUUAUUUGACCUGUCUUAUUAAACAAGUAUUAAAAACAUUGGAAGAGAGCUAAUUAAAACGAGUAUUACCUCAUUGCUCGGUAGAGAGGCCUGUACCACAGUACAUACGAAAGUGGACAUCCGAUCAACGCAUAUAUUGUGGCAAGGAAAAAGAUUUUAACACCUAUCAUUAACAUUUUGAAAAACAACUUUAGUUCAACCAAAUCCAAUCAGAACUUCAUAAAAAUAGUUACCCACAUAAGAUCAUUAUAGAAUAGAGCUCACCUCCGCCUUUAAUCCAGCAGACCAUUGUUGCAAUGACAUUGAACACCAGACACAAAACUAUACCUGAAAUUUAAACACGAACAGUACAAGCCCAUCAGUAGACUGCAUUAGAUACAUUUCAUUGCACAAAGACAAGACAAACUAAAUUGAACUUACCUAACCAACUAGCGAAAGCCAGAUACUGCAGCUUCUGAGCAUGAACUGGUAUCUCAUUAGCAAUGUCAUGGUGUAUGAUUGGGAAAAACGGUGGCCAGUUUUUAUCAUCUAUCUGGACACCAGCUGCAACACAAUUUGAUGAGUAUGGUUAGGAAUCAUCCAUCUCGACAUUCACUGAUAUAUUGUGGUCAGAGCGAGUCAAACUAAUGAACAAAAUGGUCACCAAGUUGUCAUUUGCUUACAUUUAGCAAUAGCAUCCUCUCUUCGCUUAAUAUCCUGAGUGAACAGUAAAUAAAUAGUUAUACAUAUAAGAGAAAACGGCAAUCAGCAAAACUUUAAGAAGCACAGUGAAGAUUUGUUUGAUGAAUUAAUAUCAAUGGAACGAACCAUUUCUUUCUUCCUAAGCUCUGCUUCCCAGUCUGCAAGCUUUCUCUGUUUCUGUGAAGAGUCCUGCACAAAUUAAACAGAUAUGUAAGAUAAGAUUUUAAGAGAGAAAGGUCCAUAAAUUUUAGGGAUACUAAAUGCCAUUACAUUCAUCGUAUCGAGUGGAAUAUCAACAGUAGCAUCGAGGCUCUGGCCAAAUCCAACUGGCCUAGACGCAGCAGGAACCCUACCACCGCCUUUCUGCAGAAUUUAUCAAAUAUUACAACACCAGUAGGCGAAUCGAAAAGUGACAUUGAAUUUGAUACUCCAAACCUAAAAAUGAGUCUCAAAUCAUUUCCAAGUUAUAAAAGACUACUCUCACAUUAAACCAAAUCACUCGCUAACCAUACUAGUUUCUAGAAAACUUCUGAAACCAAUUCCCAGAUCCAGAGAUACAACUCAGUACAAUAAAACCCUAUAUAUCGGUAAAUCCGGAAGAAAAAAUCAGAGAUCUAUAACCUCAACACUGUUAAAACCAUAUCAAACGGAAACGAGCCUCGGAGAUCAAGUCGAAAUCACACAAUCCUCAGUUUCUGCUAUAUUCCAGUAAAUGAAAACUCGUAAUAAGUGAGAGAUCUACAUUACUAAAGCUUAGUAAACGCAAAAAAAAAAACCCGAAUAAUCGUAAAAGAAAAAAGAAAUAAGAGAUAAUGCGUAGAAAUAGAAAGCGGAGAUAAAGCGAGAAAGAAAAGGAGAGAGAUAGAGAGAAAAGCGUUACCGAGAAGGGAUUGACGAUUUCUUCUUCCUCAUCGAAAGGGUUUGGAUCGUGGUGGCGAUUCAUUGCUGGUUUCCGAUCCUAGAUUUACGAAUUCCGAUAAGAUCGCCGAGAUCCGGCGAGUGUAAGGAAAAGAGAGAAAAUUAGAAGAAACAAAAAAAAGAUACCACCGACUGCGUAGCAAACUGAAAUGGGUGGACUCCUUAUUUGUUUUUUCUCUCGCGCUCUCUCCGAGUCUCUCUCGCAUGCGAGAAACCUACGGUAUUUACGAGACUACCCCUAAGAACUAUAUGAGCCGUUAUGGUUAUAUUUGGUCCGGCCUUCAAAGUCUAUUAACCAUAACGUCCCAUAUAAUUCUUAGGAAUCUUUCCACAACAUCAUUUAUUAUUCCUUUGACAUUACAAACACUAAAUUUUUUUCUUUCUUGCCCAUCGGUUCUUUCCACUACACAUCACAAAUAACAAAUAUACAUCGCAUUAUAUGGGAAUCGAUCUAUGGACCUUGUGAUGAAAUAGCAUACCAUAUGACUAAAAUGACUUCCACUAAUUACAAACAAAAAAGUUACAAAAUGAGUGUGUUAAACAAAAAAAUUCAAACUUAAACCGGGGGUAACUGAGGUGAACCGCCGGUCCUAUUAGCCACCCAAUGAUCCAUGAGUUCACUGAAAAUGCCGUAAGCAAUCACUGAGAGCCAUAGGCACCAGAGAACUGUGUGUGUACUGAAAAUGCCAUAAGCAAUCAUUGCUUAUAACGAGGACUGUGUGUACAGCUUGUGAGUAUGUCAUUGAGGCUUCUGUUUCAUUGCUUGUGUUUGGGAUGUUUUGGUUCAUGACGUCCAUUUCCUUUCUUUCUUUUUUUUUUUAAAACGAAGAACUUUUUUAUUGAUGAUAAUCGGUUACUUUCUCCUUUUCUUGUGAUAAUUUUGUUCGGUUCACGAGUUUAUAUAGAAGAGGGGGGGGGGUGCCGUGGUGGAAAUGUCGCCAAUACUUCGUCGUGUGAGUCGCGGGUGCUUAGUGGACCUAAGAAUAUACAUCUCGUUUUUGUUGUCAAUUCUAAUUUCAUUUGGCAAUUGGCAUUUUGAGUCUGAUCGAUGAGAUUAAAAAAAAAUAGCGAUUAAAACCAAAAGAAAUAUGCGUAUCGUAUCAUUUCAACGAACUCUGGCUCUCAAGUCUGAACACAAUGUGGCAUGGCUAAUCUCCUUGGCACAAGUGUUUUCUUUUUGGGAGAAUUGCUAUUGUGACCUUAAAAAUAGCUGUAAUUAGUAGAACAACCUUACAUUCUCGAAAUUAGUAGAAUAACCUUCCAUUUUAAAAAAACCCGAUUUUAUCUUCGAGAAGCUUUGAUGAGAAAAAACGUAUUUACAAAAAUGCCACUAUUAAAUUAUUUCCACGUCAGCUGUUAAAAUCGGGUACCCAGAAAUAAGUCUACCAAGCUUAAUGGUAGAUAUAUAAGUUUUGAUAGAUUUAAAAAUAUAUCGGUAGACAUAAUAAUUUUUGGUAGACUUAAUAUUCAAAAAAUAGAUUUGUUUAGGUGUUGAUAGACUUAUAAUGAUAGAUUUAUUUUCAUCGAAAGGUAGAUUUAAAAUUGUUGAUAGAUAUUUGAAUGUGUUGGUAGACUUGUUGGUUCUUAAAGUAGAUUUAUUUUCAAGAUGGUAGACAUAAUGUUGUUGAGUUGACUUUGUGAGAUGUGGUUGACCAAAAUCGGUAGACUUAUUAUCUUUCACAGUAGAUUUGUUAGACACGAAAAUAGACUUAUUUCUAAUAAAUAUAAAUCGACUACAAUAUAAAAAAUUUAUUCGUGAUAGUUUUGUUGUACGCAUGGUAGAUGUAAAUGUCGAUAAUAGAUUUGUUUUGAAAUAAUAGACUUGUUUUCUGUGUGGUAGACUUAAAAGUUCCGUUAGAGAGUAUAGAUAUGUGAUAGACAUAUGAGAGUAUGUAAUAGAUAUAUUUGGCGGUGGUAGACUUAUUCUUAAAAAAGUAGAUUUAUUUGAUAAUAUAGUAGACAUAUAACUCAUUUGGGAGCUUCGAUGUUGGUAGACUUAUUUGAAAAUUGGUAGACCUAUUUGAAAUUGGUAGACAUAUUGAAAGUUGAUAGACAUAUUUACUUCACUGAACGGUAGACUUAAUGAUAUGAAAUGACGUUUUUAUCAAGUAGUUAUUAUCGAAUUUUUCUGUUCCAACCACUGCAUCUAGUAGCUCUUAUGAUUUCUUCUCUUUACCUCUUUUGGAGUAUUAUUUGUACCUUGGAGGAAAAAGUUUUAGUUAUUGAUUGGGAAAUCGACUAUAGUGAUUUCGUAGGUAUGGUUUAUGAAAAUUUUGACAUGGAUCAAUGCUAUUAUGAGGUUCGAUUGAGUUAUAUGUUGUUGAAGACAUACUUGCAAAAGCUACCGCGAGAUACACUUCUGGGUUUUUAGCAAGUACUCGACAACUUGGUGGUUUUUUGCAAUAAUUUGAAAACAAAAUGGUCCGUCCAUUUAUGCGUCUAGAUUAUAGACAAAGCGGAGUCCAAAGAUAUCGAAAAAUAUGUCAAAACUUCAAUUGUAUAAAGUGAUGAUUAAGCAAGUAAAUCAUACAUGAUUCAAUAACUAUACAAUACCAUAUAUGAUUAAAUAAGUCUAUCAUACAUAAAUCAACUAUAACAUACAAAGAACAAUAACUUUAUCGUAUAUGAUUCAACAACUCUAUCAUACAUAUAGAGAACAAUAACUCUAUCAUACCUGAUUCAACAACUCUAUCAUACAUACACCAAACAAUAACUUUACAAUACACAGUCUAACAAGUCUACUAUACACGGAUGUCUGAUUCCUGCAACACACACAAAUUAGGGUUAGCUUUACUUUCGAAAGCUCACUUUCAGCCGCCGUUGCAACUGUAACUCUAUCUUUCGCACAAUCGACGCCGAAAGUUCCUUUUCAGCCCCUGCCGCCAUAGGUGACUGGUGUCUUUCGCCCAAAAAACACCGGAAGUUCCCUAAUAUGCUCGCCGGGUCCUCACAUUGAUUCUCUGAAGAAGAUGAAACGACUUCAAGGACUCAAACACGAAAUCACCAGAAUCACAGAUUCGCCGGAAACACAAAAAAAAUUCAGUAUAAUAACUCUAUCAUACAUGAUUAAACAAGUCUACCAUACAUGGAACAAUAAAUUAUAUAUGAUGCAUAAAUCUAUCAUACACGGAAAACUAACGUGUUCGUCACCGAGAGAAGACGAGAGGUCUGAAAUCAGCUUUUUUGUCUUUCGUCUUCUCCGGUGCUUGCUGUAGCCGACAAGCUGACAACGGUGAAGAACGCGAAAAUGAAAAAGUGAAUGAAACGAAAUGAUGAAGAAAAAUGAAACGACAAAUGGACAAAAACUUAUCGGAGAUGCAGAACAGGCCGAUAAGAAGCUCAGAAGGUGACCAGAAACGAUGCAGACGCCGGAAACUCGCAAAAUCUGGAAAAUCACCAUCAUCGUCGGUUUCUCCUCCACCUCUAGGUUUUUUUUUCUCGGAAAUGAAAUAGAAAUUAGGUUGAAAACGAAAUCUCAAAGAUAUUUAAAAAAAAUUAUUUUAUUAUUUUUUUAAAAAAUUAAUUAAAUUACGAAAUUAUUAAAAAAAAAAAAAGAUUUUCAUGUGUGAGGGGUUACACCGUCUUUUCCACGCUGGUAAGGUUAAUCUAGCAAAAAUAUAAGGGACCUAGGUUACUUUUGCAAACAGACCUAUUUGUAAGGUCAUUCUAGUAAUUAUUCCUUUCUUUUUAAACUCAUCCAAUACUCACUCACUCCUAAAUCAUUCAAUCUCACUCCAGUUUUCUUCAUUUUUUCAAUUUCGUUUUCAAAUUAUUAUUAAUACAUUUCUCUCUUUCAUAAAACAAAUUUAUCCAUUGGUGUGAUCUAAUCAAUGUGGAUUUAUACAUUUCUAAAUACAAUAGUAUGAGGAUUUGGUUCAUUCACAUUUUUGGUCAAUAUUUUACUCUUUUUUUUUGAGUUUGAAACGCCAAUAGUAGUUAUUAAAAAAAUCUACAAAAAUAAUUUUAGAAAUUUAUGUAGAUAAUAUUUCACAACUUUUAAAUAUUAUUAUUUUUAAAUAUUAACCUUUUUAGUUUUUUAUUAUUUUUAAUUAAUUUUGAUUGUAAACACGUCUUUAAAGUCAUUGAUUCAAUAGAAAGCGUGGAGUUAAAAAUACUGAAAAAGGUUUGAAAAUUAAUUUAAAAGUCGUUUGAAACAUGCAUACAGCUGAAUUAAUUUAAAACGGUGAAAAGGUUUGAAAAUGAAAAUAAAGUUUUAAGACUUUAUAAGAUUUAAAUUUUGGAGAAAUGUAAAAGCUUUAAGAAAUAGCAAAAACACCAACCAAUGUCUAUUCCAAAACAUUUGUUUGAAGUUACACUGUUAAUGAAGUGUAGAGAAAUGGAAAAUUUAGUUUGUUGAGAAAUUGUUCAUUUACAGUGUAUUAACGAAAAUCAAAUACUUAUUAAAAUCAAAUUGUUGGGAAUACUUUCGGGAGUGUUAGCAGGAACUGGUAUUUCUAAUGAUUGUUACAGAGUUUUGAGAUUUUAUUAUCUAUAUACUUAUUUGUGUAGUGAUUUUCUGAUGUGUCACGUUCAUAGAGAUUUUCGCAACCUUCCGCUUACGUGUCAGCUCUAGAAUGAAUUUUGGCUGUAAAUAGAUUGUUUAGCCUUAUUUUAAAAUUAUGUGUCAUUUUUUUAUGGGUUCUUAUCUGAUGAUGUAUAGAAAAAAAAACUUAUAAAAACCAGUCUAAAUUAUUAUAAUUUAAUAUUUAAUUUCAUAGUUAAUCAAACCGAUUUUAAAAUUAUAUAUAACCGAAAUUUUUUUAAAAAAAUUAACAAAAACGUUUUUUUAUUAAAAAAAUUAGAAAAUUUAUAUCUUCUAGUGUUUACCAUUUUUAUGUUUCUGGAAUUUAAAAAAAAUCUAAUAAAAAUGUAAAAAAAUAUAAAAAAUAAAAACUAUUUAAAAAAUAAUGGAUUAUCGUUUCAAAACAAAAAAAAAAUUGAAAUCUAAAAAAAAAUCUAACAAAAAGUAAUAUAUAUAUAUUUAUAUAUAACUAAUAGAAUGACGGUAUUUGUGAUGUUUAAAACACAUAAAACAGUGAUCAAAAUUGAAUAAGUUUAUACAAUACUUCAAAAAAUUACGUCUAAAAUACAUAGAACAAUGAUCAAAAGAUCUCAAAACUAUUUGAUCUAAAUUAUUUAAACUAUAUAACUAAUGAAAUGACGGUAUUUGUGAUGUUUAAAACACAUAAAACAGUUAUCAAAAUCGAAUAAGUUCAUACGGUACUUCAAAAAAUUACGUCUAAAAUACAUAGAACAGUGAUUAAAAGAUUUCAAAACUAUUUAAACUAAAUUAUUUGAAUACUACUAUGUUUUUAUUUAAUCUCUUCUAUUAUAUAUUAUUUUCACGAUCAUGCAUUCCAACAUUAAAAUGUAAAGAAAUCUAACAAACAAAUAUAUUCAAGAAUAAAUAAACAAAUGAAUCCAAACUACUAUUAGAUUUUCAAACAAUCAAAUAUAAAUUAUAUCAGUCCACGCAAAGCGCGGAAAAGUUAACUAGUUAUUGGUUUAUAUUGUUUUAAUGUUUUCAAUAGAUUUUACUCCUAUUUAUUUAUAAAAACUAAUAUUCUUUAUAAAUCCACUUUUAUUGGUUUGAUAACUUCCAAGUGUUAUUCUAAAUCCACCUAACGAUUCUCUUGAAAUUUAGUGUUAUUGGGUUAUAGAGAAUUCUUAACAAUUAAUUAACUCAUAAAACAUAUCUUUCAGAAUAAGGAAUUCUUAAAGUUUGUUAUGAUAUAUUUUCGGCGGAUUUGAUUAUUCAACACACAAAACGCUCGUCAAAUUUGGUUUUUUGUUAAAAAAAAUCAACAAAUCUCUUGUUCUAUGAAUCCACCUGUAUUUAAUAUAAAUUCAACUUCCAAUAAAUACAUAUCGAAAAUACUAAUAAACAAUUUGUGGGUUAGAUACCGUGUAUUCUUUUAAAAGUCAGUUUUAGAAAUUUUUGAAAUUAUUUGCCGAGUGAACGCGUUUAGAUUACGCGUCUUAGUAUUAUAUUUUUUUUAAAGAAAAUCAGUAUUUUGAAAGAAUUAAAACAACUGAAAAAAAACUUAGCGUCAAAUUUUAAAAUUAAAAACAAUUGGAAACAAAUUUUUUGUUUUUUUUUUGGGGGGGGGGGAGAAGCUUCCGAGCCUUUCAUUUUUCAAAACUCUGAAUAGUAAAUUUUCUGUUUGAGAACUUCUUCGGUACAAUGCAUAUCUUUUUCCUUAUCGAUUCAAUACAAAUUAAUAUACGAUCAAGGUUCAAUGUCUGUAAUCAUUCAUUUUUUUUCCAGAAACCUUUAAUUUAUGAGUUUAAGAAUACACAAGUAACAGAGAAAUAUGAUUCAAGGCAGGGAAGAGUGAUUGCAGAUUUCUUGGCUGAUUGCUUUCUCCAACAAAGUUCCCGCAUCUUCCAUCAUCUAAGAGUGUAGCCGAACCAUAAGAACGUAUAAGUAGCCCUGUAACCAAUUCUUCGGUGCACCUUCUUUACUCGCUCAUUCCUUGAAACCCAACAGAAUCUGCAAUUACUCUUCCCUGCUUUGAACAUGAGUUUACAAUGAUAUUCAUAUAUCAUGUAAACCGUUCCCCCGUGUAUCCUUGACUUGGAGCAGAAGUUUCAUAAGAGAAACCUUAAACAACUACAAUGAAAAAAUGGGCGUGCAAAAAAAAAUUAAAAAAGAAAGAAAAAAUGGGCGUGCUGGUGCCACUUUCAAAUUACUCCGAUGGCAAAAUGGGUUUAUAUAGGCUGCACUUUCGUUCACAUUGACACAUUUCAAACCUAAUCGUGUGGUCUAUACUCUCUCCUGAAUUAUGAGAGUUGAGCAAUAAACGGCUGUGAUUCAUUUCGGAAUAUUAGGUAGUUUCAUGGAAAUUUAAUACGCCUACUACUACGACUCCUAUAACUUGUAAUAUUAAUAUUAUUAUUAGAACGGUGAAGUCGAUGAGAAAAAGAGAAAUUAAACUAAGUUAUUUGACCCAAAAAAAAAAAGAGAAACUAAGUUUUUUUUUGGCCAAAAAUCUUGAGGAGUAAUUUACAAAAAGAAACUCAGUUUCGUCGAAAGUUUCGUUUUAUUCCGUCGGUACCUUCGAUUUUCCUCUUGCAAAGCUAUGAAAAAGCAUUUUACAAAAUACAAAAAGCUAUGAAAUACAAACUAUGAAAAUGGCUAUAUGACUGUAUUUUGGCUUAUACGUUUAAUAAGAAAGUAUGCGUUUUUUUUGUUAACUUAUAUUUUCAAAGUAAGACCUGACAAAUUAAUUUAUAACAAGAUCCUCUAUAUCUUUUCACUUCUUUUUAGCCGAAAUUAUAUAUAAAUUUUUGUUGGUUCUAAACACAAAUACUGUAAUUAAUUUUACCUAAAGCAUCUACAAAUUUAACCAAAAAAAUCAGAAACUUGUUUCCAAAAUUCAAAAUAGUUUUAACCACAUAUAGUUUGAUUGGUGACACAAAGCUGUAUAAAAAAUUAGUGCUAACAAAGACUAGUGGUACUAAAAAAACUAUAAAUAUGGCUUUGGAUACUAUUAAUUUUUUAUUCCUGUGAUUUGUAAAAUAUUAUUUCCCAUAAUUUUAAUUUUCCUCUUUAGUUUACAUUUUUUAAUGAAAAAUUAAAAUUGUAUUAUACAGCUUCCAUCGCCAAUUAUAUGCUCAAUUCCCUCACAUGUUCUCGGUAACUUCCCUCGGGCAUUCUAAGAAGUAUAUAUAUGCGUAGUUGCGUGUAUACAUAUAUAAGAAAUCCCUAAGGAAUAUAUAAGUUGGAAAAAGUCAUUAAUGUAAACAUUUGAAUUUGGAUGGGUAACAUGUAGUAUUUGAGAUCAUUCCAGGAAAUUUACGAAAUAAACAAAAUUAAAAUACUCUUAUUAUUAAAAUAUGUCUCUGACGUAAUCAUUUUCUAUAUUUUAUAAUUAUGGUAUGCGUAUAUUUGCAUAUAGAAAAAGCAAUGUAAAACAAUGUAUUAUCAUGCUUACUUUAUGAAAUAUCAUAUAUGAUAUAUGUAUGUAGAUUGAAAAAAAUGUCAAGUUCAAACAAAUAUAGCAUCCAUAAACUUCAAUAUCUCGAUAACAUUUGCAUACGCUAGUGCAACUAGCUGAUGAGCCCGAAGUUCACUUCAUAAUAAGAUAAGUCUUAAUCUAGUUCCUAAACUUUAAGAGAGAGAGAAGGAUAUACCAAUCACUGCAUGUGUCCGAGAUGUUUGAUUUUUUUUUUUUUUGUUGUCGGCCCAGAAUUAUACGUGAAGAUUGGGCUAAAUCAAAUAUUUUACAUUGACCUAGAAAUGGGUUUGUCAUUUUUUUAAUAGAUGCCCAAUAAUGACAAAAAAAUAUAGAUGCCCAAUAAUGGUUAUUUUGUGUAAAUAGAUGCCCAAUAAUGCUAGUCAUUAUGCAAAAAUAAGAAAAAUAGAAGCAAUUUAUGCUUAUAAAAUUAACUUUCGUUCUAUCCAUCCCUUAGCGCGCAAAUAUCUUAGUUUUUACGAAAACUAUCAUAUUUUGAUUUCGUCAUUGGAAUAACACACCACUUUCAAAUAAAAGUUAUCUCAAUUCCAUAUUGUGACCAAAUUUGUGCUCGAUUAAGCAAUAGAAAUUCGUUCAACGCCAGCCAAACUUUAAAACUUCUGAUACGAUCUUUCAUUUCAUAUUCCUUACCCACAAUAACUCAUUUUCUUUCAAAGUGACCUAAUUUUGAAAAAACUCAGUAAAUAAUAAAAAAAACUCCAAAAAAUACUUUGACUCAAUAAAAUAUUAAAUAAAUAAUUAAACCGGUAAAAUAAUAUUUAUCAGUUGUAACUACAAACAUCCUCAUUUCGGUUAACUACAACAAGGAUUCAUGUUUCAGCUCUUAUCAUGAUUCACAUUCAUCAUGGUCAGAUUCAUCAUGGUCAGAUGAUAAGAACAUAGAUCAUAUUUUGGAAAAGACACAUGUCAAACCCAAUAUUGGCUUAAGUAUUGUGCCAUUGCUUCAAAGCUUUUCUAAGACUACUCGUUUAUGAUGAUUAUUUUACUCGGAUGUUUUUGGCAGAAAAAAUUGACAGCCAAACGUUUGUUAGACCGCAAAACUGACAGCCAAAUGUCUGUUAGAGCGCAAAAUCCGAAUUGAAAUCACGAAGUAAAUCAAUGAAAUUAUAAACGAUAUCUUAAGGAAAGUGUAUGAAAACGAGACUUUGAAAGCCGUUUUGAAAAACUGACUAACACAGAGUCGAGAUUUGAUCUCUUUCCUAAACUCAAUUAAUCGCCCGUAAUGUGUGACGGUUUGUUGCGAUUUUUGAAUCCCAUGAUAAACCGUGAUGAGACUAUUAUGCAACACCCAUAAUAGAAUCUGCGAACUGAAAUAACUACGCUAUAAUUCUCGAGACACUUACUAUAUUAAGAUGAGAGAGAUUUGCUAGAAGCUAUUGUUUUCCAGUGUGUUUUUCAUUUAUGUCUGGAUACGACUGGAUGAAUUUAUCUCAAAAGAGGCUAUUGUAUUUAUAGUAGAAGAUCAUAGUGGAAAACUUUUCCAACUACCGAUGUGGAAUGUUUUACAUGUCAUUUUUUUUCCUUUUUACAUUCACAAGGGUUUUCCUUUUUACAAGGGUUUUCCUUUUUACAAGGUUUUUCUUUUUACAAAGUUUUUCUUUUUACAAGGUUUUCCUUUUUUAGAAGGUUAUUUCCUUUAUUACAAAGCUUUUCUACUGGGCCAUAAAAUCUCAUUGCAAUUCACACAUACACAAUUUUAUAAGCCCGCAAGCUUUAUAAAAAAUAGUUCCAACAAUCCCCCACAUGAAUAGAAAUGACUCUAAAGAUAUGCAGACUCAAUAAACUAUGCAGACUAGACUACAAACUAGACUACAAACUCGAUAGACAGAAUUUUCGAGAGUAUAAACGAAAACUAACUGUAUCUGAGGUAGUAACAUAUUUCAGCCUUGAACCACUCAUUGUUACAUCUGUCGGAUUUACUCAGCCAGGAAGUGAACGCGAUGUCUUGAACCACCCGGAUUUUUGUGUAAACCAAGACAACAUAUAUAACCCAGCUUCGUCUUCUCGUAGAUUUCAGUUCUCUAUUGUGUUCAUUUUGGCCUUGAACAUGCCUGGUUUAUCAUGAGUGAACUUAGAGAGUAUAGUCUUGUCCUCAUUCUCCUAGAAACAGCCUCAUUUCACACGCACUAGGUGAUUGCCAUCUAUCUAUCAUAUACACAGAAAGUAUCAUGUUAUACUCUAUAUACAUGUAUAUGAAGGCUAUGGUCUUAUCUCAUUAAAAGCCAUAAUACUUAACCUUACAUAAUUACAGGAAGCACUGUUUAUCAUCAUGGAAAUUGAGCAUUUUUACAGUGCUUUUCUUAGAUUCUGCUUGAUUUAAUUCUCCCUUAGAACCAACCUCUUGGGAUCUCCAAUUUCAUAGGUGGGGUUUCCAUCAAACAACCUCUUUCGUGAUAAGCAAUAAGCCCAUUCUCUUAGAUGAUUUAAUGAUUUGAUCUCGCGGCAAGCUUUUGGUAAACGGAUCCGUUAAAUUAUCCGCUGACUUGAUGUAAUCGACCGUGAGUACACCACUUGAGAUCAGAUGUCUAAUGGUUUUAUAUCGUCUUCGUAUGUGAUGAGACUUGCCAUUAUAUAGACUUCGGAGGUGGCCCUGCGAUUUUUGCUAGGCACCCCCACACUUUGAGGUAUUUGUACGAAGGUACAUUACUUUUCCAAAGCUCAUACGGUGUUUUGCUAGUUACCUUAUGAGGUGUUUUGUUGAGGAUAUUGUUUGUGGUGAGCAACGCUUCCCCCCCACAGAUUCUGGGGUAGCCCAGAUUAUUGGAACAUUGCAUUCAUCAUUUCCUCUAGAGUUUGUUUUUUUUCUUUCCGAAACUCCUUUAGCAAUUAAAAUGUAUAAGUCGCUAUACACAGCGUUUUCCGAAAGUAAUUUGCUUAGAGUUUCCAUGAAUUCACCAACAUGUGUUCUUAAAACUCGACAAACGUUUCUCGGACUUGUCUGAGACUACCACGUAAAUCGUUUCACAGAUUCGUCUAAAUUAAACGUUGAAAACUCGUUUUCAAAAUCGUUUAUAAGUAUUUUUUGCAAUUUCAAUCCGAUUCAAGCGAUAAGCAGGAAGCGGAUUUAUUGAGUUAAGAUUGUUAGACUGCAAAAAUCUGAAUUGAAAUCACAAAGUAAAUCAAUGAAAUUAUAAAUGAUAUCUUAAGGAAAGUGUAUGAAAACGAGACUUUGAAAACUGUUUUGAAAAACUAACUAACACGGAGUCGAGAUUUGAUCUCUUUCUUUAACUCAAUAAAUCGUCCGUAAUGUUUGACGUUUUGUUACGAUUUUUGAAUCCCAGGAUAAAACCAUGAUGAGACUAUUAUGCAAUACCCAUAAUAGAAUCUGCGAACUGAAAUAACUACGAUAUAACUCUCGAGACACUUACUAUAUUAAGACGAGAGGGAUUUGCUAGAAGUUAUUGUUUUUCUGUGUGUUUUUCUUUUGUCUGGAUACGACUGGAUUCAUUUCUUUCAAGAGAGGCUAUUGUAUUUAUAAUAGAAGAUCAUACUAGAAAAUUUUUCCAACUACUGAUGUGUGAUUUUUUACAUGUCCCUUUUUUCCUUUUUACAUUCACAAAGAUUUUCAUUUUUACUAGAGUUUUUCUUUUUAAAAGAGUUUUGUUAUAAACAAAUGGACUUCUAGUAACCGGCCCAUUAACCAUCAGGUUAAUGUCUCAUGGCCCAUUAGGGUUUUUGAUGCAUUAGUUAUGUAAUGUAUAUAUACACUGCUUAUGGAAAUAAUAAGAUCUGAGUUUUUCCCUUAAUACGUUAUCAGCACGAAGCUCAACUUCAAACGAUCAUAUCUCUCAAAAUACAAGGAGUUAGAAGGCGAUCUACAUAUCAUUUUGAAGCCCUGGAAGAGAAGAAUCUAGUGGUAAAAACCGCUCCUCAAUCCGACAACAGACGCGCCCUCAAGACUCAAAACAAUCGGCGCUGUCCCACCUUAGCGGGUGAUUCUUUCCAAGCGGUGGUUCCUCCAUUGUAGCAGCUGUUCGUCCUCCCUUCUGGCCAUCAUUCUCAGGAGUUUCCAGUAGAUAUCUGUGGUCUUUAGUUCCCAGAUCAUAAGCCGGUCAGAAAUCCAUUUGGCGAAAAGGUAUUAUCUAAAACUAUAGAUCCUAAUCAAAGUUUUUUGAAAACCCUAAUAUGGAUCGGUUCUUUUCAUGAUUCUUCAUCGUUUUUUUUCGUUUUUAAAACCAUAACCAAACCGAUCCUCUUUCUUCUUGUCAAAACCCUAAUUGGUUUUAUUUUUCCUAAUCGGCUUUAUCAUAUAAAACCUAAACCCUAAUGCUUUGUUCAAACUCUAUACCGAUCGGUCCUAGCAUCAUCUAAACCAAACACUAAAAUUCCUUGCAAACCGAAACCUAAAUCUUUGCAAAACCCUAGAUCUAAAAUCGUUUUGGUUUGUCUAUCGUUAAACCGAGAUCGAUCGGUUUAUAUCCUAAACCGAUUGGUUAUUUAUCUUAGAUCCGAUCCUUGAAAACCCUAAAACCGGUCCAUGCAAGCUCCUAAAUCCUAAAACCGAUCGACCCCUUAAAGUCUAAACCAAUCGAUCCACCUAAACCGUUUAUAAACCGAUAAAUUCUAAUCCUAAAUCGAUAGGGUUUAAGUUUAAACCGAUCGGUUUUUCCUAAUAAAAAUUAAACCCUAGCAAAUCCGUUUAGUUUAAUCCCUUAACCGAUUAAUAACCUUAAUAACCGGUUUCUAAAAUUAAAUCUAAUUUAACCGGUUUUGUUGUUUAAUCGAUCAAUCCGAUCGGUUUAAGCUUAAUCGGUUAAUUUCAAAUUAGUUUCCAAAAUCAAUCUCUAGAUUGCCUAAACCCUAAACCUUUAAAAAAAAAUAAAAAAAAAAUAAAAAAAAAUAAAAAAAAACCAAUGUUUAUCUAUUAGAGCUAAAUUUGGAAACCCUAGUAAACCGGAUAGGUUAUAAACCCUAAGGUUCGAUUUUAGAGUUCCUUUAUAUAGCAAGUUUCCUAAAAUAGCAAGUUUCCUGAAAUGGAAAGUUUUCCCAAGAAUACCUUAAAUCCCUUAUUCCAAUGAUCAUAGUCUCAUACUAUUGAUUAUUUAACAUAAAUUAUUAUAUGUUUCAGAUGUCAAACAUUCAGAAGGUCGAAUAUGAGGCACUCACUGUCUCCGGAGAUAACUACCUCAAAUGGGCCCUUGACACCAAGAUCUACCUCAACUCAAAAAGUCUGGGUGAAUGCAUCAAAGAUCCCAACACCGCGACUCAAACAGAACGGUACUCGGCGAUAUUUAUUAUCCGCCAUCACCUUGCUGAGUCUCUCAAGCAACAAUACCUCACUCUUGAGGAUCCACUCGAACUUUGGGUGGCACUGAAAAAGCGAUAUGACCAUCAGAAAACGGUCAUACUGCCCCAAGCCAAGUUCGACUGGAAGAACCUACGGUUCGAAGAUUUCAAAUCCGUCGAAGAAUUCAAUUUCGAACUCUUUCGGAUAGUUGCACUCAUAAAACUAUGUGGCGAGGAGGUCACUGAUAAGGAUAUGCUAGAGAAAACAUUCUCUACUUUUGGCACUCCCAAUGUUGUUCUCCAACAACAAUACCGUGCCAUGAAUCAUAGCACCUAUGAGGAUUUGAUAUCUUGCUUACUGCUUGCUGAGAAGAACAAUCAGCUUCUGUUGAGGAACAGUGCCAUGCGGCCUCCAGGAUCAGCCCCAUUGCCAGAAGGAACCAGAAAAGAGUCCAACUUCGUCCAACGUAACAGAUCCUCAGAUCGUGGACGUGGACGUGGAAAUGGACAUGGACUGCGCGGCAGAGGACGCGGUAGACCGAACCAAGUUAACCGACCUAACCUCAGUUUUGGUCGGGGUAAGGGUCGUGGUAUCAACAAACCGACCCAAAGAGGCUGUUCAUCUAGACCAACUCCUUGCUCAAGAUGCGGAAUGACUAAUCAUUGGGUCAAGAACUGCCGUACUCCCAAAUAUCUUGCUGAGCUCUACCAGAAGUAUGGGAAAGAUAAUCAUGAGGCUAACCUGGUUCAUCAAGUCAAUGAAGAUGACUCAAAGGAUGAUAAGAUUGAUGGCAUGGAUUAUGAGCUCUCCGACCUCCUUGAUUGAUCUCAAAAAAUCUGAAUUUGUUUUUCAUUACUCCUUAAACCUUUAUCUUUUGUUUUUGGGAUUUAUUGUCUUUACUUUGGAUUUUUAAGACCUUUUGCUUUUACAUUUUAAUUUAUGGAGUAAUGUUUUAUUUACAUCUCAUUUUUGCAUGUUAUUGAAUUAUAAUUCUUGUUUAAUGAAGAUAUGCAAGACAAUAUGGAUAUCAUUGUGGAUAGUGGAUCGAGCCACACCAUUCUAAAAGACAAGAAUUACUUCAUAAAUUUAGUAAUCAAAACCGCAAACAUUAGCACUAUAGCGGGUAGUUCGAGCCUAAUAGAGGGCCAUGGCCAAGCUAAUGUGUUGUUAUCAAAUGGCACAUAUCUAGACAUCUCUGAUGCCUUAUACUCACCCAGUUUUAAGAGAAACCUAUUGAGUUUCAAAGACAAAAGAUUGAAUGGUUUCCAUAUCGAAACUCAGGAUGAAGGGAACAAAGAGUUUUUAAUUAUCACUAAAAUGAUAAAUGGCCAUAAACAAGUUUUUGAAACUAUACCCGCCGUAUCUACUGGCAUUUACCAUGCUAAAGUCAGUAUGAUUGAGGCUAAUGCUGCUAUCAAAGCACGGUUUUUAGAUUACACUAUUUGGCAUGAUCGCCUGGGUCAUCCCGGUGCGAACAUGAUGCGUAAAUUAGUCCAGAAUUCUAAAGGGCACAGCCUUAAACCAAAUGGUGUUUUCCCUCAGCACCUCAAGUGCACAGCUUGCUCACAAGGGAAACUGAUUACCCGACCUUCACCAGUCAAAGUGUCUAAAGAGACCUUGAACUUUCUGGAAAGAAUCCAAUGAGACAUAUGUGGACCAAUUCACCCACCUUGUGGGACAUUCAGAUAUUUCAUGGUCCUCAUUGACGCAUCGACCCGCUGGUCGCAUGUCUGUCUGCUCUCUUCUAGGAACCAGGCUUUUGCUAGGUUAUUGGCCCAAAUCAUCAGAUUACGAGCCCAUUUUCCAGACUUCCCAUUAAAGACUAUACGUCUUGAUAAUGCUGGUGAAUUCACUUCCCAAGCGUUUAAUGAAUAUUGUAUGUCCAUGGGGGUAAGUGUUGAACAUCCCGUUCCACAUGUCCAUACACAAAAUGGAUUAGCUGAAUCCUUCAUUAAACGAAUUCAAUGGGUUGCUAGACCAUUACUCAUGAGGUCACAACUCCCGGUCUCAGCUUGGGGACACGCAGUCUUACAUGCCGCUGAACUAAUACGCAUACGACCAUCUAGUGAGCACAAAUAUUCACCAUCCCAAUUGCUAAUGGGUCAUGAGCCAGACGUCUCCCAUAUUAAAACAUUUGGGUGUUCAGUCCAUGUACCCAUUGCACCACCACAGAGGACUAAAAUGGGACCUCAAAGGAGGAUGAGAAUAUAUGUUGGUUUUGAUUCUCCCACCAUCAUAAAAUAUCUCGAGCCAACUACAGGAGAUCUGUUUAAAGCCAGAUAUGCAGAUUGCCGAUUUGAUGAAUCGGUAUAUCCUAGAUUAGGUGGUGAGACAGACAAGCUGGUAAAAGAACUUUCAUGGAAUCAAACAUCCACACAAUGGCAAGAUCCUCGGACUCUAGAAUGUGAUUCAGAGGUCCAAAGAAUUAUACAUUUACAAAAGCUAGCUAAUCAAUUGCCAGAUUCCUUUGCUGACCCGAACAAAGUUACCAAAUCGUAUAUACCAGCUUGUAAUGCACCAGUACGAAUAGAUGUCCCCUCAGGGAAAAGUCAAGUUGCUACAGAGUCUGACGCACGUAAGAAACGUGGACCACCAGGUUCCAAAGAUAAGAAUCCCCGAAAAUCAAAGAAAGGUGCAAUGAUUGAAACCGGGAUUCAAGAGAACACGGGUACAGCCUUAGCUGAUACUUACCCUAUCGAACCAUCUCAAGAGGUUUGGGACGCCAAAACUCAAGGUUCUGAAGGGAUUGAUAAUAAUGAGAUCUCAAUCAAUUAUAUCAUAUUCGGUUCUCUAUGGAACAGAAAAGAUGUUGACAUCAAUGAAACUUUUGCAUACAAGGUAGCACUUGAGAUUGCGCACACGCAAGAGGAUCUAGAACCCACGUCUAUAAUUGAGUGCACUCUUAGAUCAGAUUGGCUGAAAUGGAAAGAAGCCAUAAACGUGGAGUUGAAUAGUUUAAAGAAACGGAAUAUGUUUGGUCCGAUCUUAAGGACACCAUUCGAUGUAAAACCAGUGGGAAACAAAUGGGUCUUUGUGCGUAAAAGAAACGAACUCGGCGAAGUCGUUAGAUACAAGGCACACCUUGUAGCACAAGGAUUCUCACAGAGACCCGGAAUCGAUUAUGAGGAGACUUAUUCUCCAGUGGUGGAUGCAACUACAUUUCGAUUCCUCAUAAGUCUGGCCAUAAGAGAAAACUUAGAUUUGCGGUUAAUGGAUGUUGUAACCGCAUAUCUUUAUGGACCACUGGACAGUGAAAUCUAUAUGAGAUUACCAGAUGGUAUUGAGCUCAAAGAUAAGCAUGCAUCUCGUGAUAAACACUGCAUUAGGCUGAACAAAUCCUUAUAUGGACUGAAACAAAGCGGACGUAUGUGGUAUAACCGGUUAAGCGAAUAUCUCAUCAGAGAAGGCUACGAAAACGAUCCGAUCAGUCCAUGCAUCUUCAUCAGAAAAUAUCAAAACAAAGGAUUUGUAAUCAUAGCAGUAUACGUGGAUGACUUGAACAUCCUCGGAAUAUCUGGUGAAAUCGCCCAAACAGUUGAAUGCUUAAAAGCAGAGUUUGAAAUGAAAGACCUAGGCAAAACUAAAUUCUGUUUGGGAUUACAACUUGAGUACGUCAAUGACGGAAUCCUUGUGCAUCAAUUGGCAUACACUGAAAAGGUACUCAAGAGAUUCAAUAUGGACCAGGCCCACCCAUUAACCAGCCCAAUGGUUGUGAGGAGCCUUGGAUUGGAUAGUGAUCCAUUCGGUCCAAAGAAGGACGAUGAAAAAAUCCUCGGUCCUGAAAUGCCAUACCUCAGUGCUAUAGGAGCAUUAAUGUACUUGGCUAGUCACACUAGACCAGACAUCUGCUUUGCCGUGAGCCUCUUAGCUCGCUUUAGUUUGUGUCCAACUCAAAGGCACUGGAACGGUAUUAAGCACAUCCUUAGAUACCUUCAAGGUACUAAGGACUUGGGAUUAUUUUAUUCUAACCAUAACAAGGAUGGUCUAGUUGGUUUUGCUGAUGCAGGAUAUUUGUCAGAUCCGCACUGUGCCCGGUCUCAAACCGGUUAUGUUUUCACGCAUGGAGGAACAGCCAUAUCUUGGAGAUCCAUGAAGCAGACUAUUGCCGCUACCUCAUCCAACCAUGCGGAAAUCUUGGCCAUUCACGAAGCUAGUAGAGAGUGUGUUUGGUUGCAGUCCAUGACUCAGCAUAUCCGAUCAGAUUGUGGUAUGGACGAAGAUAAGGAGCCUACGGUGAUGUAUGAAGACAAUGCAGCUUGUAUCGCUCAACUCAAGGACGGCUACAUCAAAGGUGACCGGACGAAGCAUAUUCUGCCCAAAUUCUUCUUCACUCAUGAGCUACAGAAGGAUGGUCAGGUCAAGGUUCAGCAAGUCCGAUCAAGCGAAAAUUCAGCCGAUCUAUUCACUAAAUCAUUACCGACUUCUACACUCCAGAAGCUCAUUCAUCAGAUAGGAAUGCGUAGACUUAGAGAUCUACAGUGAUGCCUAAACCAGGGGGAGUAAUGCGUGUUGUACUCUUUUUCCUUCACCAUGGUUUUUCCCACUGGGUUUUCCUGGUAAGGUUUUAAUGAGGCAACGUUCCCCAGCGCAUUAUAGAGAUCCCGGUUUUGUGACAGGCACGGUUACCUUGUCCAAGGGGGAGUGUUAUAAAAAAAUGGACUUCUAGUAACCGGCCCAUUAACCAUCAGGUUAAUGUCUCAUGGCCCAUUAGGGUUUUUGAUGCAUUAGUUAUGUAAUGUAUAUAUACACUGCUUAUGGAAAUAAUAAGAUCUGAGUUUUUCCCUUAAUAAGUUUUCCUUUUUACAAAGUUUUUCUUUUUAUUAGAUUUUCCUUUUUUAUAAGAUUAUUUCCUUUAUUACAAAGCUUUUCUAUUGAGCCAUAAGAGCUCAUUUCAAUUUACACAUAAAAUAAUUUUAUAAAUCUGCAAGUUUUAUAAAAAAUAGUUCCGACAAUGUCUUUUUUUGUUAAAGGGCUUACUUGAAUAUAAAGAAUGUUAACAGAUACAAUGAAUCAAACAAGAACCAAAAGGAGCCUAGGAAAAGAUCAAAGCAGGAAACAGAUUACAAGGAUCAUAAAAGGUAGAGCAUGCCUAUCACAACACGCUUUACCACCAACCAACCAAAAGAAGAGAUCAGUCAAUUCGGCGUCCAAAGGGCGACCAGGCCAUCGCCAUAUUUCGAACCAAUUUGAAGAAGAGCCCUGGAUUUGUUCCUAAGAACAGCCAGUAUUUUAAGGAGUACCUGAGAGGGUCUUAGGGAAAACCCAUCAUGAAAACGCCGGUUGCGCUCAGCCCAUAUCUCAAACAUUGAGGCUUGCCAUCCCUGGACCAAAGCUAGAAACUGGACCUUUGUCGUUGUCGCAGUGGGGAGCCAAAGCACGACCUCAUUCCAAGAUCCAGGGAUGAAGGAUAAGUGAAGAUGAGCGAGCACCUCUCGCCAAACCUCAUAGGAGUAGGUGCAUUCAAAAAACAGGUGGUUUCUCGAUUCAGUAGAGGAGCCACAUAGCAGACAAGUGUUUUCGACAUCCAAACCCCAAGCAGAAAGUCUAUCCAAAGUUGGGUUUCUGUUGAGGGUAAAAAGCCAGGCCGAGAAAGCAUGCUUCGGAAUAGCGACCUUAUGCCAGACAAGAGGAAACCAGGCGACUUGAGCUUUGCGAUUCCUAAUCAUAUCCCAAACCUCUUUAGAGGAGAAAGAAUCCUUAACUUUGCCAGCAACAAUCCAAACUGGGUAAUCAGUUCUGCACGAUGGACUGAGCUGAGAGAUGGAAGCAUAAACCAGAACCUGAUCAUCCGAUCUAGCAGGUGGCAACCUCCAACUAUCUUCAACAACGAAGUCCGAUACCAGAGCAUCGAUAGGGAUUCCGAUUCGGGAAGGACCUGUAGCCCCAAGAAAGUUGAUUAAGGGUCCAUGCGAAGUCUACGGAUCCCACCAAAAGAAAGUGUCUUCACCAUUACCAAUCUGAAUGGAUAAGAAUUGUAAAGCCUUCUUUCUUAGAGAUAAAAGUUCCGACAAUGUCGACAGGUCGAAAGUAGUUGCGAAAGAUAUUGAAGCUUACCUGAUUGUAAAUAUUUUAGCUGAAUUGAGUUCAUAAUCGAUAGGACUAUAGGAGCUUAAAAAAAAGAUACGAAUCUACCCUAUGUAACAAGUAGUUUGGGAUAAUAAUUUUUUUUAGCACUAAUAACAAAAACACUGAAAAGAGAAUUUUUUACCGUCGGGAUCCCCAACUAUCACCAUCACAAUUCACGACUUAAGGAAUAAGUUUCUCGUUGUCAAAAGAAAAAGAAUUUCUCUCCGAGAAAAUGAUCUUUCAUGUCGUUGAAAGUGGAGUGGGGUAAGCCACGGCGGAGAGGUAGGAAGAGAAGAAAAGAAUCAGAGACGAAGAAAGGACGAAAGCAAAGGCGGCCAUGCACUUUGCGCAAAUUGCAACCGACCUUUUCAAAAAUUAAGUUUAAAUUCCCGAUAUAUAUUAGCAUUUUGUUAAGAUUUGUUAAUCCUUAAACCUGAUACUCCAGUGUGGGGCAUGCUUGAAAGGUUCCGAAUCGAAGCCUGGUGGGGAAUGGAGAAUCUGGAAUUGGACUCGUGGUCGUGGACUGGUGAAGAUAUCGCUGAUCAUACAUAAUAGGCCUUUCUUAUAUAUUCAUCUUCCUUGUAUAUUUAUAUGCUUUUGUUCUUUCUCCAAAAGAGAAACUAUUUUGAUAAACAUAUAAUAUAACCCAUGAACAGAUCUGUACUCUCGCAUAUUCACAAAGGCAAAAAUCCAAAUGCUUUUCUUUGUAUGACAGAGUCACAGUCUUGCAGACACACUUUGUCGGUAUGGGGUCGUUUGGCAAUAUGAUCCGUACGAACAUUUCGUUUUGUUUUUAUUUUAUUUUUGCUCCAUGCUAAGAUUUUUUGUUCUCUCUUUUUUUUUAUAUACAUAUUAGUCUAAGAUUUGUGUAACAUAUUAAUAUUGCCUUACAUAUUAAUUUCGUUUUUUUUACAUAUUAAUAUUGCCUUAUAUAUUAAUCCGUACGAACAUUUGCCUUAUAUAUUAAUCCGUACGAACAUUUGGCUAAGAUUAAUCUUAUAUAUUAACCCGUAAGGCAAAAAAAAAACAUUGUUAUAUCCUUUGACCAAAAAAAAACAUUGUUUUUAUUUUGCUACGAAUUGUAAAUAUCAUUAAAGGACGAUGAAAUGUUGAGAUUUCAUAAAAAUGUGACCUAUAGUACCUAGGAUAACUAAAAAUCCGCUGACUAGAACUCUGGGUUUAAGAAACUCUUCCCUAUCCAGAAAACUAGGGUUUACGAAACUCUUCCCUAUGCUGUUAUAGAACUCUGUAGGAAUUCUCAUAUUUAUUAAAUCGUCAAAACUGAAUACAUCAUUAAGCCUAAAAAACUAUUUAUAAGAUUAAAAGCUAAUUGUUGCACAAAAAAAAGAAGAUUAAAAGCUAAAACUUUCUAUCUACCCUAAACUUAACUAAAAUAGGAAAACCAUAAAAAUAAUAAAAAUAUAGAAAAUUCGCUUGUUAUAAUUUUUUUGGGUACUACAGGGACGUAGGUCAUAUCAUAACUAUUAGGAUGUUUUCGGCAAGAAUUUUUGAGUUGUACGAUCACAGAAAUUAAUUUGGAUGAGUCAAGCUUAGGGCUUAGUAAUUAUGACCUUAAAUUGUAACAUUUAUAAGACAUAUUAGCAGCAAGAACAAUACUGAUUGGUCCAGAAAACAAAUACUAUUAUACUAUUGAUUGGUAAAUCACUAGAUAGUAAAUAUAUAGUUAAUAUAGAGUUUUGGUUACAAAUUAUUAAUCAUCGAUCGUUUACCACUUUGGUGGUAAUUUUAGAAAGAAAAGAUGGUAGUUUAAAAUUUUUCUCUAAAAUAAUCAUUUCUUCAUUGCAUAUACGUACGGAUAUAGAAUUGGACUCCGUUCCAUACGCGAUCAUUUUAAUUUAUACAUCAUCGCUAGUACUCGAAAUGAGCGUAGCAUUAGUUUAUAUUCUGUUUUGUUACUAAUAAUAGCCAUUAACAGACGUAAAAAAAAGUAGCCAUUAGUAUAGAGUAGUGGAUUUAAAAAAACAAACAAACACGCGUAGAUAAAAAUUCUUGCCUAAUCUUAAAGUUUCGACAUUUGGCUUUUAGUGAAGAAAAAAGAGAUGACUAACGUUUGACUUGUCAAAGAUAUAUAAUAUUCGUAAAAAAAAUCUGAAAUAAAAAAAAAAUCGAGAUUGGCAUAAAAAAACCAACUUGCUUUCUUCGUUUGAAGCUAAACAAGGAAUUAAAAGGUCGAAUCUUUUUGCAACAGAAAAGUCUUUGAAAAAAGAAAAAAAAAAUUGAAUGAAUAGAUUAAAAAGAGAGAGAGGAAAAAAAAACUGAAAAAGGAUUUCACGUGUAAAGGAACUCAAGCGUGCUAGCUAGUGUGAUAGAUUUUGUAGAGCAUUAUUAAUCAAUAAAUCGACUUCCCCUAACAAGAACCUAAUCGACAAAGUACAUAUAUCCAAUACACACCGGUCUCUGAUGUAUUAUACAUAUAUCCAUGCAUGCAUGGGAAAGCACAACAGUAUGAAGUAUGAACUAAGAAAUAAAAACACAUACAAUGAUAAAAGAAAUAUAAACAUAGAAAUUGGAUAUCUCGCUUGAUCAUCUCGAGCCCCGGCGAAUAUAACUCACUUUAAUCCGGUGGAUCUACGGCGUUGUCCUUAGGGAAUACGAGAUCCGAGAAAGAGACAUACAUAACAACGAAGAACCAAACAAGCCAGAGAGCAAUAACGAUGAGAGUGAACCUUGGCGAAAUAAGGGAGAUGAUCAUAAGAGCUGCGAUAGCUCCAAAGAGAUGACUAACGUUUCCAGCGAAGUUACGGAUAUUAGGUUUGUUUCGAAGCUUGACUUCGAAGACUCGGAGGAUGGUGUAGAUAAGAGUGAAGAGCCAGAAACAUAAGAUCUUGGCUCUACGUUCUGCUUCGUUGGUUGAUGAAUUUGUGACCACCUGGAGCAAUCCAAUUGCUCCUCCAUUGAUAAAAAUGAUGAGCCUGUGUACAGUGGAGGAAUACGCAACUCGCUCCUCCUCCGUGUUCUCAUCACCGGAGCUCUGGCGAUUUGCGAUUUGAGCAGAAGAGGACAUGGCUAAUGGUUGUGCUUUUUCUUUGUGGUCUCCUUCGUCUUGUGUAUAUGUAAUAUAGUCUCAACCCGCUUCUUAUAAGGCUACAACUCGACAACUUCGUAUAAGAGUCCAUGUGGAUAUAUAGCAACAUUUAUACUAUACAUUACCUGAAAAAAAAAAAUUUUUGGUAAUAUAAAGUGAAUUAAUAAAUUAUCUUAAGAAGAAAAAAAUAGAAAUAUGGGUCGUUGAUAAUAAAGAAAAACGAAAAAAAUAAAGAAAUUGCAUGCAAAGUACUGGUUAAUUAAAGAUCAAAUAGAAUACAUAUAUGAUAAAUAAAUAAAUAAAUAUAUAUAUAUAUAUAUGUAUAUAUAUAUAUAUAUGACCAUCAGCACAUCUCCAUACAUUUUGAGAUUGAUCAAUAAAAUUUGCUUUUUAUGUAUUUUAGCAUCGAAAAGUUGAUUAUAUAAAAAUGUUAUUAUUUGUAAAUUUUGUGAUGGUAAUCCACUUUUUUUCUUUUCUUACUUAGGUAUAUUUCCUUAUUGCUAUUUUUUUCUGUAAUGUUUAGAUGACAUAUUCCCUAUUUCUUAUUGGUGUAACAGUUCCUUUCAUGAAUUCUUUCUCUUGUGUGGGGCAGGGGCACUCCCAUGUGCUCACAAGAGCUUGUAGUUAUGCUUAAUCAGAUUUGUCACGACUGAUUCUUAUAUGUAUGCGUUCACACAUAUACAAAAUCAUAAAAUUUAACAUAAUGUAUAUAAUUAUUAUGAUUUUACACGAAUUACCUGAUAAAUUAACCACUAUCUAAAUAUAUUUAAGUGAUAAAUUAUUAUUUUCCAAAUCAAAACGGGAUUAGUUUAGGAGCCAGUUAAGAAUAUUAGUCUGUUCAAGACAGCGAGCCAACAGAGGAAGGAAUGCGUCGGGAUGUGUUCGUGAACCAAAUAGUGAUAGAAUUGCAAAGAUCUAAGAAGAAGAAUACACAAAUUUGUUAACAACAUAUACAAACGAUCGUAUCAUGAAUUGCCCUAUAGAAUAUUCACGUUUAAGGAAACUAACUAAACUUUUCACAAAAGAGGAAACUACCUAAACUAAUAUUAUAUACAUAAAAGGAAACUACCUAAACUAAUAUCAUAUACAUUAAGCAUAUACAAUCAUAUUAUAUCUCAUUAAAUCGCUUUAUGCUAUGACACCGAGUUUCCAAAGUUGUUAGUUUCUCAAGUGGCUGAAGUUGAGAAGGACCUGAAGCUCCAUUGACCACUACGCACAUCCUGACUAAUCCGUGAGUCAAUAGGUAGGCUCCAGUAUUCUCGAACUUGAGCUCAAAAUCUAGUAUUAUGAUUGAAAAAGAGACGGUUUAAUAUUUUAUGUUUUCUUUUAAUCUAGUAUAAAUACUAUUGAAUUUUUUUUUUUCAUUUUAAUUUUAAUUAUUCUUUUUGAAUCAGAGGAAACACUAUAUAUAUAUAUAUAUAUGAUUUUCUCUUUAAUUUUCAUAUACUUUUAGUUUUUUUUUGGGUUAUAUAUAAGUAUACUUUUAUAUUCAUUAUGAUAAGCUAUACAUAUAUGACAAAUAUUAUACAGUGUCAAAAUUUAAAAUUAAGUUAACAAACCAUAUAUUUUAGUUUGAUGAAAAUGGAUUGAGUGAUCUAUCCAACUUUUUUCGCAUUCAACCAACCGUGCAUAAGACUUUCACCUCGCAUGAUUCUAAGACUUUCACUUUGCAUAAUUCCUAAGUGAUACUCCAUUUGUUUCAAAGGAAUAGACGUUUCACACAAAAUUUUUAGAAUUAUUCUUUUAAUGUUGUUAUUAAAUAUUACUUAAGUUUUAUCUUUAAAAUAAUAAAGAAAGGUAAUUAAUUAGGUCAAAAAGAGCAAGAACUGCACCUAGCUUUAAUAAUUGUCAUCAGUAAUAAAGAUAAACCGAAUCAAUUGUUUAAAGAAAUCGCCCUAUUAUAUGUUUGUAACGGCUUACAAUGUUUAUAUGAUUCGAGAUUGAAGAAGGAAAUUCGUCUGAAAAACCGUCUAAAAAUGGUAGAUUUUUACAAUUUGAAUGAGAUCAAUUUAAAAAAAUAUUUUGAGAAGAAGAAUUUGCUAAUUACUCCGUAUAAGAACUUAGCGGUAAAGAGGAAUUGGUUGGGAAAGAUAAAUCUCAAAAUUUUGAUUUUAAUAAAUUAUCUUAGUUAUUUUUCUUAUUUUUAAAAAAAUAAUUCUUAAUUUAAAAUAUUUAUGGAUUCAUAUAUUUAUAUAAUGAUUUUUAAAAAAUUAUUAUUUUUAUUAUUUCAUCAUUAUAUACUGACUCAAUUUAAAAUCAAUUUAAUAAAUUUAUCGAAUAUUAAUUUAUAAAAUAUCUACAAGUGGACCAACCAAUGGGUGUGUGACAAGAUUUUGUAGAGAAUUUUAUAAUCAACAAUAAAGAACCGAACAAACAUGUUCCAAAGUGUCAAUUAAACAACAAACGAGACAACGGUCUCAGAUAAUAAAAAUCAUAAAAUUAAUUAAUUAAUUAAUUAAGAGCUCUUAAAUAUGUUCCCCCACAAUGCAUGGGAAACCAUAGCAGUAAGGUAUAAAAAAUAACUUGAUAGAGAUUGAGAUACCAAGUUUCCAACCGAUCGAAAUUGGAUAUCUCGGAGACGUCUUGAUCAUUUUGAGCUCCGUUGCGGCGUUAUCCCCCGGGAAUACGAGCUCUAAGAAAGAGACAUACAUAAUAACAAAGAACCAAACAAGCCAGAGAACUCACUAACAUACGAAUCAAAGAAACUACCAAAAUUUCCUGAUCAAACGGAGAACACGAGAAACAGAGAAUGAAGAAGAAAUAAAAUAUGACACGAGAAGAUUUACGAGUUUAUAAUCAAUCUCUGAACGAGAAUCGCUGUUUGAUUAGGUAAUUCCAAUCGAUGGGUUGGUAAGAAUUAUAGACAGUGAAUAUACACAAAGAUGGGGAGAUUAGCCGUUGGGGAUAAUCAAUAUUUUCCUAAAUUACAUAUAGAAUAUAUGGCUCCUAUUUUAUUUAUCCCUACGUCUCGACCACAGCUACACCAAAAAUUCACUAUAUUAUUCGAAAGAUUACAAACAUUAUAUAAUCGUCAUCUCACAAACCCGAGAGAGAGAGAGAGAGAGAACAAUUCAAACAGAAUUUCAAAGCAUAGUUUUUUACAACGGAAUAACAAAACUCGAUUUACCUAUACCACAUAACUCUCCUAUUCUCAUAAUCCUCUGAUGCAAAAUAAGACUCCUUUUAAACAAGACUGCUAAGAACCAACUGUUAGACCGUAUCUUAAUCAAAAGCUCAAUUCGAUAUCACAUAUUAAGAUAUUAACUUUUAAUUUUUUUGGGUUUGCCUAUAUGGUCCAAAUGAACCAUUAUGCCCUGCUAAAUUUGCUAGCAGUGUUGGUAACCACCUAACCAUAAAGAGCCUCAUUUCGUUUGACUACCUCUCGUUUGAUUGGAGAAUAAGCAAAGUGUGUCCUCCCUGCAAAAUGAAACCAAUCAUAAAAACCACUCUUAAAAGUAAAAUGUAACGUCGAAAGUAUUCAAAAAAAAAAAAAAAACAUUUGAUGCAAAUGUCAUAUUGUUGGCGUAAGUCCUUGUGUAUCCAAUAACUUGAUUGUUAAAAAACCAUGGCCUCCAUUGAUCAAUGAUCGAAUAUUGUAGAGAUCUAAUCCAAGCUUGGGUUCCAAGAAAAGGCACAAA